rnacentral:rRNA from 1 species
UACGAAGGUGGCAAGCGUUGUUCGGAUUUACUGGGCGUACAGGGAGCGUAGGCGGUUGGAUAAGCCCUCCGUGAAAUCUCCAGGCUUAACCUGGAAAGUGCAGAGGGGGGACUGUUCAGCUAGAGGAUGGGAGAGGAGCGCGGAAUUCCCCGGUGUAGCGGUGAAAAAUGCGUUGAUAUCAGGAGGACACCCCAUGGCGAAAAGGGCAGCAAACUGGGCAUUAUCUGACGCUGAGGCGACGAAAAGCGUGGGGUAGCAAACAGG